ACCAGCCAAGCUACCUACCAGCUACCUUGGAUCGGCCUGAAACACCCCAGCUAAGGCACCAGGAUUUAAAAUGGUGCAGCUGCUAUGGAAAAUCUAAUAGAAAGGCCUCAAAAGUGCAAAAUAGAACUACCACAUGAUCCAGUAGUCCCACCUCAAUGUCUGUAUCCAAAAGAAUUGAAAAUAAGAUCUUGGACAGAGAAAGCA